GGUUCAUCAUGGCUCAGAUUGAACGCUGGCGGGAUGCUUUACACAUGCAAGUCGAACGGCAGCACGGACUUCGGUCUGUGGCGAGUGGCGAACGGGUGAGUAAUGUAUCGGAACGUGCCUAGUAGCGGGGGAUAACUACGCGAAAGCGUAGCUAAUACCGCAUACGCCCUUCGGGGGAAAGCGGGGGACCUUCGGGCCUCGCACUAUUAGAGCGGCUGAUAUCGGAUUAGCUAGUUGGUGGGGUAACGGCUCACCAUACACGAUCCGUAGCUGGUUUUGAGGACGACCAGCCACACUGGGACUGAGACACGGCCCAGACUCCUACGGAGGCAGCAGUGGGGAAUUUUUGACAAUGGGGGAAACCCCCGAUCCAGCCAUCCCGCGUGCGAUGAAGGGCCUUCGGGUUGUGAAGCACUUUUGGCAGGAAAGCAAACGGCAUCGAUACCCCGUGCAACUGACGGUACCUGCAGAAUAAGCACCGGAGCAACUACGCCAGCAGCCGCGGUACGUAGGUGUAAGCGUUAAUCGGAAUUACUGGGCGUAAAGCGUGCGCAGGCGGUUCGGAAAGAAAGAUGUGAAAUCCCAGAGCUUAACUUUGGAACUGUAUUUAACUACCGAGCUAGAGUGUGUCAGGAGGGAGGUGGAAUUCCGCGUGCAGUGAAAUGCGUAGAUAUGCGGAGGAACACCGAUGGCGAAGGCAGCCUCCUGGGGAUAACAUUGACGCUCAUGCACGAAAGCGCGGGGAGCAAACAGGAUUAGAUACCCGGUAGUCUACGCCCUAAACGAUGUCAACUAGCUGUUGGGGCCUUCGCCUUGGUAGCGCAGCUAACGCGAAGUUGACCGCCUGGGGAGUACGGUCGCAAGAUUAAAACCUGGAAGGAAUUGACGGGGACCUGCACAAGCGGUGGAUGAUGUGGAUUAAUUCGAUGCAACGCGAAAACCUUACCUACCCUUGACAUGUCUGGAAUCCCGAAGAGAUUUGGGAGUGCUGUGCAAGAGAACCGGAACACAGGUGCUGCAUGGCUGUCGUCAGCUCGUGUCGUGAGAUGUUGGGUUAAGUCCCGCAACGAGCGCAACCUCUUGUCAUUAGUUGCUACGAAAGGGCACUCUAAUGAGACUCGCCGGUGACAAACCGAGGAAGGUGGGGAUGACGUCAAGUCCUCAUGGCCCUUAUGGGUAGGGCUUCACACGUCAUAUAAUGGUCGGGACAGGUCGCCAACCCGCGAGGGGGAGCCAAUCCCAGAAACCCGAUCGUAGUCCGGAUCGCAGUCUGCAACUCGACUGCGUGAAGUCGGAAUCGCUAGUAAUCGCGGAUCAGCAUGUCGCGGUGAAUACGUUCCCAAAUUGUACACACCGCCCGUCACACCAUGGGAGUGGGUUUUACCAGAAGUAGUUAGCCUAACCGUAAGGAGGGCGAUUACCACGGUAGGGAUCUUAUGACUGGGUGAAGUCGUAACAAGGUAA
rnacentral:rRNA from 1 species